rnacentral:lncRNA from 1 species
GAAGGAUACGGUCUGGGAGAGAAGGACUGUGCUUGGCGGAGAAGUGAGAGAUGCUCUGCUUUGAGGACAGAAAGUCACAAACAAUAUUUCCAACUGCCACUGGUCUUGUGUCCUUUGUACACAAACAGUGGAACUGGUUGGUUGUUCAAGAGGACAGCGAGACACUGGGGAUCAUUUGAAUGCUUUUGCAGGUCCCAGAGGAUGGAGUGGGAAUAAGAGGAAAGCAGAGGUCAGCCCAAGGAAAAGAAGUCUCUGUCUGUGAGCGGGGGCUGCUUCCCAGAAAAGACAACACCCAGUGACCUACUUAGCAAAUGGAAACACAAACCAGAGAAAUCAGCCAAGGUCAUGGAUACACAGCCUCUCCUGACCAGCUAACUCCAGGUGUUCAGAGCAAGAACAAAAUGUGCUGACAUGAGGGAGUUCCCUUAAACUUCCCUGGGCAACAAAUCACAGACUGUUGAAUUUCUUGCUUUUCUAAGACUUUGUUAAAUAAAUGGCAGCAGCAAGCUGAGGUCCAGUCUAUAUGUGCUUUCCUGGUUUGGAUGAAGGCAACAUCUAAGAACAGCUCUUCCCCGGUGAGUACUUUAUGUUAAGGCUGGAUAGGCUUCCUUUGAACUGGCCCCCUGAGGUCACUGAAAUCUCCACAAACCAGGUGCUUUAGACCUACUCUGAUGGAAUCCAUAUGCUCCAGUGUUCACCUCAUUAGAUACAUUUUCUAGGUGAGUUCUGAAAUAAUUGUAUUCAAAGCUUAAUAAUUGCCAGGAAGACGAAAGAGGUCAGAUUUUAUAGGCCCA